rnacentral:rRNA from 1 species
GGCUCAGAACGAACGCUGGCGGCAUGCCUAACACAUGCAAGUCGAACGAGACCUUCGGGUCUAGUGGCGCACGGGUGCGUAACGCGUGGGAAUCUGCCCUUCGGUUCGGAAUAACUCAGGGAAACUUGAGCUAAUACCGGAUAAUGACUUCGGUCCAAAGAUUUAUUGCCGAGGGAUGAGCCCGCGUAGGAUUAGCUAGUUGGUGGGGUAA